UGGGUUACUAAAGUUCAUCCCGGCAUGAUCACAUGCACAGCAGCACAAAUUUCUGCUUUUACGAGCCAGCAAGUUCAAGUUCAAGGCGACACGAGGGUCGAGUGUCUGCGGUUUGCAAACAAUCCGAAAUUGGAUGCAGAAGUAUCAGCACAUGGAGGCAGCACACAGAUUGUGUUAUACCGGGUGUCUGUUGGCGGCGUUGUGGAGCUCCGGACACACCAAAAAUCCACCAAUCAGUGAGCGGAGCUGUGUAGACCCAUCCAAUCAGAAUGAAUGCAAGGGUGUUGCUAGGAGAUAGGGUGCUGUCAGGACAAUGCAGUGGGAGGAGUGGAAUCCUACACCUGCUGAGGCUGUGAUGUCAUGAGGGGCUGGACAGCACAGGGUAACUGCAAUUCAAUUUUACAAAGACACUACAUAAUGUAAAGUGUAUCAAUCCUAUUAUUAAAAUAUUGCUAAAAAGACGAUAGUCAUAUCUGACUACAUUUAAUGCAUGUUUUGUAUUGUAUAUAAAAUUGAAGCAAAUGUUCAUGUGCCUAUUUACAGGUUUAUUGAUAAAUUGAAACUACAUUAUCUGUACACAAGACCACAUAUGGCUGGAUCUGGAUUUUUUCCCCUUAUCAUCAUAGGUGCUUCUUACUAUUAAAAGACUCACUUGCCUAUUGGUCAAAUUAUGCAAUAAUUUAUUAAAACAUUCACAAAAGGUACAAAUAU